CCCAGAGGCUCACCACCAGGCCCCGCCACCCAAACUCUCCACAAAGCCAGGUCCCUGCUUUUCCUGAGCCAAUUAAUUCAGACCAACUGAUGAAAAGGAAGGGAAGGAGGCAAAACUGUCAUCACAAUGUCCCUGAGGAGGAUGGACAGCACUAGUGACAGCUCUUGGAGGAGAGAGCUGAAGAAUCAAAACAACCAAGGCCCAGAUCACCUACGGAGUUCCAGAAGCCUGGCAUGGUGGGGUCCACCCAAGACACUCACAGGCCCUCCGUGGGAAGGAAAUCUCCAGACAGCACUUCCGUAAAGUGCACUAAUCCUAGGAGAUGUUUUAUAAUGAAGUUUGCACAUUACUCAUAUGGUGAGUGAAGCACAUAUAGCCAGGCACAGGACACCGAGGUAGCAGGGUUAGGAUCAUGUUCAACUCACCCAUUCCACACUAUGCCCCA
rnacentral:lncRNA from 1 species